UCCAGCUUUGAAUGCAGUGUCCUCUGCGGCUGGCUGAGUAUAUGACCCCAGGAACUGUAUGGACAUGCGCUUAUGUGAUAAUCCAAGGCACAGGGUCUCCCACUGAAUCCGGAACUCUCCAUUUUGGCCAGUAAGCCCUCUGUCUCAGCUGUCCCAGUGCUGGGGUGGCAGACCUGAGCUCCCACACCUGGCAUCGUUCCCCUGCAUUCCGGGCACUCUGCACUUAGGUCUUCUGAGCCAUCUCUGUAUCUCCCUGAGAGGAUUCUUGAGGAAUCAUAGACCGUUGCUAAGUCGCCCAGAAUCACAUCAAAGUGGAUAAGACUUGACGACAACAAGUGGGGAUUUCAUUUCCAACCCAUCUUCACAUUGCCCAACUACCAGAAAGUGAUGGUAUCAGAAUGGCAGGAGGGCCCAGCAAGGAACUGAAACUUGAUUCCUUUGUCACUACCUGCUGUGAGUGGACCUGAAAUACAGAAAUCCUUCUGCUCUGUUGUAACAGCAAGAAGAUGCUGCUUCUGGAACUCUAUGAGAUGGUUCUUUCUGGCCACUCAGCUCACAUGUCACUCCACAGAGGCGUGAGUCUAACGUUGUUACUGUCUCCUAUAUCAAGCCGCCGUCUUCAAACACUAAGAGAUCGUCACGAUCCAGUGAGGUGCUCGCAUCAGAGUUGAGUGCCUGUCAUCCCCAAGAAGAGCAAAGUGCUUGUUGCUCUUGGUCCCGAGCAGACACCAGAGCAAGAGUUGGCAUAGAAGGGCCCCGGUGAGGAAACGCAUUGGAAGAGUGAGUGCAUGGAUUAAAAAAUGCAGUGUGCCAGGAAGGGCCUGGGCCACUGGGUCCUUCCAGCUGCUUCUCUGGAGAGCAGAAAAGGGGGUGGGGGUGCUUGACUUGCUCACAACAUGUUUUGGGGUUUGCCUAGGAUGUGUUAUGAAUCAGUGCCAGGGAUUGCCCAUCCCUUGUGCUCUGACCCAGUCAAAUAUUUUGCUUGUAAAGCUAUUAAAGAGGUAGAGAUAACGGC
rnacentral:sRNA from 1 species